GUUCACCUGUGUGUAGAUGGUGUUCAGCACCAAGGACAGGCAUGUUCACCUGUGUGUAGAUGGUGUUCAGCACCAAGGACAGGCAUGUUCACCU
rnacentral:pre_miRNA from 1 species